AUGAUAUCCACUUCAGUAGCCAAAAUAAGUAUCAGCUGGAGGGUCAUUAUCAGUAUUAAGGGUCCUACAUGAACACACAAGUCUUUCAUGAACACAUUCUCACUGAAUGAUGUAGGCUGAGUUGGGAAAAAGAGAUUCAGGUGUGUCAUGCUAACAGCAGCUACUGUAUCCUGGAGCCUCUGGCCUGCAGCAGAGAUGAGCAGAAGGCUGCAGCGGUCUGACAGUGGGGUUCCUUCCAGUCUUACCACAGAGCUUGUCCUGGAACUGCAGACCGAACUGGUGAAUGAGGUCGAAGGACUCCACCAGAAAGACGUGGUCUUCAAAA